UAGAAUGCGAUAUGCAAUGUGAAUUGCAGAACCAUGAAUCAUUGGAUCUUUGAACGCAACUGGCGCUGGUAAAACCAGCAUACUUGUUUCAGUGUGCGUAAACACAUCAACAAACUAAAUGUGAGAGAUCUUCUCUCAUGAAAUAUAUGCUCCUGCAGCAGUCACAUUCAUUUGUGAGCUGAAGAGAGACUUAUGACUUCUUUGCACCUGAAAUCAAGUAAGAUGACCCGCUGGACUUAA
rnacentral:misc_RNA from 1 species